GACGUAGGGCGCGAGCGUUGUCCGGAUUUAUUGGGCGUAAAGAGCUCGUAGGCGGCUUGUCGCGUCGUCCGUGAAAACCUGCAGCUCAACUGCAGGCUUGCGGUCGAUACGGGCAGACUAGAGUGCGGUAGGGGAGACUGGAAUUCCUGGUGUAGCGGUGAAAUGCGUAGAUAUCUGGAGGAGCACCGGUGGCGAAGGCGACAUCCUGGACCGGUAUUGACGGCUGGAGGCGCGAAAGCCAGGGGAGCAAACGGG
rnacentral:rRNA from 1 species